UUUUUUUUAAAAUAUAUAUUUCUUUCAACUGAAAUCCACAAAGUAAAUGUAUAUGAAAUGUGUUCUUUAUUAAUUUUAUGUCAUAUAUUAUUGUGGUUUAAAUGGUUUAAUUUUUUAUUGUAGCUUUACUAAUGGUUCUAGAUUUGGUUGUAUAACUUAUGUAUUAAUUUUUUAUUUUAUUCUCUUGUGUCAUUUCUUCAUUCCACUAUUUAUAGAAAUAUGUCUGUAAAUAAAGUAAAUGUAAUAGUGUUCAGCUGUGGAGUACAUUUAGUACCUUGGUUUUUGGUUAUUGAAGUAAAUUAAUCUACAUUAGUUUAGAGUACCAGUAGUUAAAAGUAGGUUGGAUUGGUUGGUGAUAGCCGCAGUGGUAAGCAUGGGAGUUUGGGUGAAUUGUAUCUAAAAGGAAUUUAUCUAAUAGAAAUAUACACUUUUUAAAAUUUUAUUUUAUU